AGUGAACGCUGGCGGUAGGCCUAACACAUGCAAGUCGAACGGCAGCACAGUAAGAGCUUGCUCUUACGGGUGGCGAGUGGCGGACGGGUGAGGCAUACAUCGGAAUCUACUUUUUCGUGGGGGAUAACGUAGGGAAACUUACGCUAAUACCGCAUACGACCUACGGGUGAAAGCAGUGGAUCUUCGGACCUUGCGCGAUUGAUUGAGCCGAUGUCGGAUUAGCUAGUUGGCGAGGUAAAGGCCCACCAAGGCGACGAUGCGUAGCUGGUCUGAGAGGAUGAUCAGCCACACUGGAACUGAGACACGGUCCAGACUCCUACGGGAGGCAGCAGUGGGGAAUAUUGGGCAAUGGGCGAAAGCCUGAUCCAGCAAUACCGCGUGAGUGAAGAAGGCCUUCGGGUUGUAAAGCCCUUUUGUUGGGAAAGAAAAGCAGCAGGUUAAUCCCCCGCUGUUCUGACGGUACCCAAAGAAUAAGCACCGGCUAACUUCGUG
rnacentral:rRNA from 1 species